ACACUAGCACCAGCAGCACAACUCGCGGUGGGUACUAGGGGUGUUGGUUUGGUGCUUUACACAUGUAAGAUGAUCUGCAAACACACACAAAGGUGAACUGAAAAUUUUGAUUUUUUAUGUAUAAGAAUACAAAAAAUUAGGUUGUUUUUGCUAAAUUUUUGUCCUCUGAACUUAUGACCUCUGGAGUUUGUACUGAUAUGAAUCAUUUUGCUGAACCGCUACAAAUUUUUGUGUAUUGAAUCACUAUAUAACUUAGACAUCAACUGCACAAUGGUUUUUCUUUGAACUUUGGAUCACUUUUUUUCUGAACCACAUGUGUACCAAGAAAAAACAACAAAGGAAAAAGAAAUGAAAAGUAUGAACGGAUGCAUAUACACACAUCAAACUAUUUCUGCAUUUCAUUAUGAUCUGGUGAUAUAAUACAUAUUUAACUGCUAUACCAUUAGUAAAUUCACAGUUACAUGACACUUUUUUAGAGCAAUCUAGUAAGCAUUGCAUGGAAUACAUCAAAUAUUGGGAGCAAUUUUAACAAGUACUUAUCUAAUUUUGCAUGUGCACAAUACCACCAAGGUUGAACUUUUUGAGUUUUGAUUUUUGAACCUCCCAGUAGUAAUACAUGUACUGAGCGGCACAUGAUUAUGUUGUUGAGAAGCUGAUCUACAGAGACAAAAAGCACUCCUAUAGUGCACAGACAAAAUCAUGAUAAAAAGUGGAAGCAAGAAGCAAUCAGUAGGAGCACAUAGACUUCAUAUUCUAAGGGGCACCACUAGGAGCACUAGCCUUUUUCUCUUUAAUGCUAUACGAAUAGGUGUGCACAUCCUGUCUUUUUUUAAAGCGUUGAAGUCUCAUGGACAAAGCAUCAAACAGGUUUCACGCAAUCCAGUGCUAUCUCUCAGCUAUUUGCUAAAUGAACAUAGAACAUGCUGCGAGUUUCAUUUCGAACUUGCCUGGAAGUAAUACUUGUACUCUAGUCCAAGUACAAGUAUAAUGCUUAAAGUAUGUAAACAAAAAAAAAGAUGCAGAAUUUACAAACAAAAAGCUUCAAAUAAAAGUUAAAAUAAUAGAGAAACUAUGAAGCAAAUAGCAUUAGUGAUCUUCUAACUGAAACACCAUAUUGUACUGAUAUUUUUUUGUCAAUGAACUUCUGCAGUUUAGGUACUAGAACUCACUAAUGUUAUUUACUCUUUGUUUUUAAGGCAUUUUAAGUACAUGCCAAACACUUGUUUCUUAAACACAUCCACAGGUUAAAUGGAUUAGUACAUGAUGAACAAUAUCAGUUUUCAGAAGCAAAACUUACACUGAAUUGGUUAAACUUCUUUUUGCCAAGCUACUAAUUUUUUAUAUAUAGCAACACUAUUUUUUUGAAUAGACACAUUGAACCGUUUUCUGGGGUUGUUAAUGAGUUGAUGAUAGAAAACAUGUCGAACUCAAAUUUUGGGCUUACAGAACUACCAAAUGUUUUGGGUUCUUCUAUCAACCUUUUUCUUAUCUUUUUCUGAACUCCAAACCACAAUUACAAUUACAAUACACACAUGCACUACACAGCAAUGUGUAUUUGUACUAUUCAUAACAACGAAUUAACCAAAAAAUAACUAAUUUGUGAAGGAAACAGUUUUUGAACUUGGUUUGAGCUUCAUCUCUUCAUAUUUUUUGAACUCAUGCAGCAGGUAUACCUAAACUUGCGUGACAUUUUAUUCAGUUGAAAGAAGCUAAUUUUUGAACUCCUGCGGCUAACAUACCUGGAAUCACGGAUGGGGGGUGGAGGCGACUGCUCCAGCAAGGGCUGCGGGUUGGUCAGCUUCCCUACUGAUCAGCAUGUUCAUGUGUUUUCUUGUUACUGUGUACACCAUGUUGUUGCUCAACAACAAAAUAGAGCUUGAUUUAUAUCAGCAAAGCAAAAGUUGGCCGGAAAUUUUAUUCCUUGCAUCUAGACAAAUUUAUAAGUUAUAACAUGAGAUAUUCUAUCAAACGCGGAACUGAAAAUCACGGAAAAUGUGAACUGAAAAUUAUGGAAAAUGUCAACACCUUCGAUCAAUAAACUCUACUGGAUCGCUUAGCUCUUUCUUGCUGCCUCCACCU
rnacentral:lncRNA from 1 species